rnacentral:misc_RNA from 1 species
UCAAACUUGGUCAUUUAGAGGAAGUAAAAGUCGUAACAAGGUUUCCGUAGGUGAACCUGCGGAAGGAUCAUCACUGAUUCGGGGGGCAGCGCGGGAGACUGCGCUGUGCCCCAACCAAUCUUGUGUGAACCGUACCGCGAUCACGCGCGAGUGGUUGGUUGGUAGGGGGGUCAAAGCCCUUGCCGGCCGCCAUCACGCGAGCACAAUCUCUUGAUUAAUCUUGUCUAACAUUAUAAACAACACACACACACAACUUUUAACAAUGGAUCUCUUGGCUCUCGCAUCGAUGAAGAACGCAGC